GAUGAACGCUGGCGGCGUGCCUAAUACAUGCAAGUCGAGCGAACAGACGAGGAGCUUGCUCCUCUGACGUUAGCGGCGGAUGGGUGAGUAACACGUGGAUAACCUACCUAUAAGACUGGGAUAACUUCGGGAAACCGGAGCUAAUACUGGAUAAUAUAUUGAACCGCAUGGUUCAAUAGUGAAAGACGGUUUUGCUGUCACUUAUAGAUGGAUCCGCGCCGCAUUAGCUAGUUGGUAAGGUAACGGCCUACCAAGGCAACGAUGCGUAGCCGACCUGAGAGGGUGAUCGGCCACACUGGAACUGAGACACGGUCCAGACUCCUACGGGAGGCAGCAGUAGGGAAUCUUCCGCAAUGGGCGAAAGCCUGACGGAGCAACGCCGCGUGAGUGAUGAAGGUCUUCGGAUCGUAAAACUCUUUUAUUAGGGAAGAACAAAUGUGUAAGUAACUAUGCACGUCUUGACGGUACCUAAUCAGAAAGCCACGGCUAACUACGUG
rnacentral:rRNA from 1 species